GUUUUCCGUAAUGAUGGCAGAGGUCCCUCCACACGGCCCCCGGGUUGCCGUCUUCGUAUCCAGAAGAACGUAAACCCUCGUGUUUUCCAUCCUCUCUCUUUCUUCUCUCUCUUGCUGGCCUUUUUGUGGGAUCCGGUCGACCCAGGAUGGACACGGAGCUGCUGGAACUCGCAGCGGCAGUUCGAGUUCCGGCAGCAGGCCAAGUCCAGCGUCCGCCUCUCCAACCGGAAUGUCGUUCGAACUGGUCCGCAAGUUCCAGGGGCUCCAGAGAAUCGAUUUCGACCUCCUCCACCCUAUCUCUCCGGGAAGGAGCAUAUCAUCCCUCAGGAUCAGUUGAGGCUGGAGAUGGAGACGGAGAUCAAGAAGUCUCGUCGUCUGUCUCUAAUUGAUCUCUCUGACAUUAUUGGAGUUGAUAUGUACCAUGUGGAGGGGUAGGCCCCAGAGAUAGUCUCAGAUGAUUUGGGGCUAAUGUUGAUUAAUGAGGAGAUAAUUUCAUAGUGUUAUUGGGAUUCUGUGGUGGAAAAUAAAUGAGAAGUUGCAGGAGUGUAGUCAGAUCCCCUUGGUUGAGUUUGCAGCCCAGUUGCAUAUUGGCUCGGAGUUGGUGGUGUCUGUUCUGGAGUCCCAUCUCGGAACACUUGUAAGUAAACUUUAUAAUUUUGCCUAAUAUUAUUUUUCUCAUUUUUUGCUCGAUAGUAUUUUAUUAUGCUAAUGUUUUUUCUAUGCACGAUCAUAUUUAAGCAUGAAAAACAAUACUAUGUUCCACCAGCAAUCUCAUAUUAAAUAGGAGAAGGUUUCAUCAAUCGCAUGGUUUGAGUUAACAGAUAUAUACCUUCUGUAGACAUUGUCUGUUGUACCGCCCCAUACCAUUUGGUACGGGGCAUACCGUACCAUACCGAAAGAAAACUGGUACGAAACAUAUCUUCAAGUUGAUACAAGCCUCCUAUACCGAGGUGCGUACUAGUCCGUACCGAGGUAUAUCAAGAUAAAAAUUGAGAAAAAUAGUUAUAGAGCUAUUUUGGUAUAGGAGUGUACUGUACUGUACCAUACCGAACCGAUAAGGUACCGAUACGGUAUCCGAUACUGAUAUUGCGGAUCUUAUUUCUGCACUUUUUUAAAAAAAUAAAGAUGAGAAAACCCCAAAAAAAUGUUACAGUAAAGUUUGUUGGAGCUGCAAUACAAUUUUAUUUAUUGUUUGUUAGAUGUUAUGAUAAUAUUAAUGUAUAUAUUUUGUAAGUGUAAUACAAAUUGAAAUUGAUUUAUUGACAAGACAAUUUUGAAAAAUGUGAUGAUCUGGGACAAAAUAGCGGAAGUUCGAAACUGAAAUUUAGGCAAGAAGAGGGGUUGGGCGCCUUUUGCUAGUAAUUCUGUAAGAUGCUUAUAAAUAUGAUAAGUUGUCCUUUCUGGACUAUUAUUUUUUUGAUAAAAGAUUGAAUUAAGAUUGCAAAAGAAGAGAAAAAAGGGACAUGAAAGCUAAUCUGUUUAUUGUUUAAAACUUACAAAAGAACAAUUGGUUGGACACCGUGUUGCUAUCAAGAUUAACAUGAGCAAGCCAUCAGCUCCGGCUUGGACAAUGAGAUUGGAUUGUCCAAUAUGAUACUCCAUGAAAUGAAGGAAAGAGGCCAUGCACAUUUGACCAUUGCAUAAAUAUCUAUCUUCAAGAUACCUUCAACUUUCUUCAGCUAUGUAAAAAACUUGAUCUGAUUUUCAUUUUUUCUGGUCAAAUGAUUUAAGCACAAAAAAUUCAUUUACAUGAUGAUCUCAAGCUUAUGCAUAAGGAAAGAAACAAAUGAACCAAAAUGAUGGAGUUCCUUGUAAUGCUCUUUGUUCUCGAGCACACUAACUACCUUUGGAUUCUCGAAAUCACUCGUUCAAUUGAAUCAUUAGAGGAAUUCCCGGAUGUUUAGAGAGAUAUACAUUGAGAGAAGAGAAAUUUCAGAUAAAAUGUGCAAUGAAACAUAAUGUACACCACGGCGACAACCCAGGGGCUGAGUUUUAUAUAAGCUUUCUUGACAGGGGCUUGGGCCAUUGGCCUGGCCCAGCUCCAAUUCUUUGGAGCCUUGUGGUUUUGAAGUGGAGAGGAAGAGAGAAGAAGGAGAAGAAAUGGUGGUGGUUUAUGUGAAAGGCAGAGGAGCAGCAGCAUGAGUGCCUUUAUGUGCCUGUGCCAGUCGAUCAUUGAUAGGAUUGCUGAAUCCAUCUUCAACAUCGCCGCUCUCCUCCUGCCUAGCGAGACACUGCGCCCUCAUGGGGAUGAUACUUUCAGAGAUGUACAUCCUCCUCUUCCUUUUCUCUUCAUUUCUUCUCCUUUCUUCAAAUUACAGCUGAAGAAGAAUUUUCAAGGCUGUGAUAUAGGUUCUUCCCCUCUCAUCCAAUCUAGAAUUGGUGGUAACUACCUUAAAUUUUGAAACUAUUAUCUCCCAAUGUUUUGUUGGCCUAGACUGAAUUAAGGUUCCUCACACCUCAAUUGCCUCAACCAGUGUGGUAGUGUCUAUGAGCAACUGGAAAAGAACGCUUGUAUAUGUUUUCUGGAGUAAAAUUGCUCUAAAGUUUCAUGCUUUUUGACAUUCAGCAGAUGACUUUUUUCUGUUUCAGAAAGUUAUAUAGAGAUCGUGCUUGCUCUACAGAGAUCCUUAUCAAAAGUUGAGGCUUAUGCUUCUAAGGACCAGGUUCAGUACAAACAUUCUUGUCAACUCAUGCCCUCAGAGUGCAUAUUACAAGCAUCGAAAAGAUAGCAAGCUUCGUGAUGGUAUGCAACUGUGAUGGGCUGGAAAAGAACUUGUUAGGGGAAAAAGGUUAUCUGAUUGCACAGAUUAUCAUCAAAUUGAAGUCAGCUUCCUCGGGGCUGUAAGCUCUCUCUCACAUUACUGAAAGAUAUACAACUGGUGUUUCAUCAGUUUUGUACAUUUUUUGUUGCUUGUGGCUGUUCCUGUAAGGUUUUGGGUUCUUCAAGUGUUUUUGGUACAUCUCCAUUAUGCUGUCACAAGGCCUGCAGUCCCACACUUUCUGAAUUAUUCUUCUUUCAGAAUUGCUGUUCACCUGACAGGUAAAAAGUUCAGAGGAAUUUAGAAACCGGAACAGUAGCAUUAUUAGUGAACAAGGAAAAGGUAUCCUAUGAACAGUUAUCUCAAAGAAUCUUUGGCACGUGACUUUUCAGUUCAAGCACAUGCAUUGUAACCCUGAUCUUAUAAUAUUCUUUUUCUGAUGUAUUAUGAGCUUUAUGAUUUAGCAAAGAUAUACUGGCAGAUUCUAAAGCAAGUGAAUUCUAGUUAGAGGAUAUUUUAGCCCCCACAAGUGCCUUCCAAGACAUCAUCUGUAAUGAUUAUUGUUUAGAUCAAUGAUAUUUUUGUCUUAUACUA